CUUCACUUCUGUCAGCGAGACCACGAACCCACCAGAAGGAAGAAGCUGCAGACACAUCUGAACAUCUGAAGGAACGAACUCCAGACACCAUCAUUAAGAACUGUAACAUUCACCAUGAGGGUCCGUGGCUUUAUUGUUGAAGCCUCGUUAAGGCUUCCCUGAGCCCUGGGCUGGCUUCUGCCAUGGCAGAUACCAGAAGAAGCAAGCCUUGUCCCUGUUCACAGAAGAUUCUAGCCAGAUCAGGAGCUGAAGAUAGCAAAAGAGGGAGAAGUCUAACCCACAGUCCCAGGCCCUGGUGAGUAAGGUCUGGUGCGAGGAGAAAGUUGAUGAUACGGAAGGGCGUUCCAGUCCUGCUCCUUUGGAAGUGGAGAAUCCGGAGAACCUGGGGGAUGCAAGAUGGACAGGCUGCUGCUUAAGAACAUCCAGCCUCCUAGAGAAAAUGGUUGCUGUCAAGACAAUAGUACCAUCUCCACAUUGUUCUUCUCCCCCUUCAAGAAUGGUAAUAAAAGCAGGAGACUGACUUGGGCAGCAGGAUUCCUGAAUUGCUCUGAACCCUUACACAGUACUCUGGAACAGCAGAGUUUGAUACCUUCUUAUUAGAAGCUAUCACAGCAGUCAGGUGGCCCUGCUGUCUUCUGAUUGGCGAUUUAUAGAGUGCAGGACAAUGAGGCUCAGGCUCGUAGCUGGAAGGAACUUGACUUGAGUCUCAAAUGAGACUUCGGACUUUGGACAUUUGAAUUGAUGCUGCAACAAGUUAAGAAUUGGGGGACUAUUGUUGGGAUGGAAUGAUUACAUGUUUUUAUGUGAGAAGGACAUGAGUUUUCAGGGGACCAACGGCAAAAUGCUAUGGUUUGUACAUGGUUUGUUUGUCCCCAUCAGAACUCAUAUUGGGAUUUGAUCCCUGGUGUAGUGGUGUUGAGAGGUAGAGCUUAGUGAGAAGUGUUUGGGUCAAGGGUUUGAUCCCUCAUGAAUGGCUUCAUGCCAUUUUCAAUGUAGUGGGUGAGUUCUCACUCUUACAAGACUGAAUUUGUUCUGGGGGAGUGAAUUGUUUUUCAUGAGGGUGAAUUGUUAUGAAGCCAGGAUGCCCUUUUGAUUUGUUCUGUCUUCACUUGUGCUGCUUCUGCUUUGACCUUCUCCACCAUGGUUUGACCCAGCACAAAAGCCGUCAGCAGAAACUAAGCAGAUGUUGAUGCCAUGCUUGUUGUACAGCCUGCAGAACCAUGAGCUAAAUAAACCUCUUUUAUUUAUAAAUUACUCAGCUUC